CCUUUUAGUUAUUUAGACUCUUUCGAUGAAUACAAUUGGUUUUCAAAUGUGAAUAAUAAAUUUGUUCAUCGCUUGUAUUAUAAUAUUAUAAUAGCAACAUUUAAAUUAUUCACAUUUGCAAAUCCUUGUAAGUCAAUUAAUUUUAAAUACUUUUUCGGAGUUGAUUUGGCGGAUUGGUCUUGAACAAGCAACCAUUUCCAAGCAAACACUCGUGUUGUUGGCGCUCAAUUCUUCAAAAAACUGCAGAAAUUUCCUGGCUUGCAAUUUUCAAAUGUACAUCUAAUUGGCCAUAGUUUCAGAAAGAUUUCUCAGUGAAAUCAUCGGAACUCAUGUGAUUGGAGGACUUGGGAUUGAAGAUACUUCAAGUGACAUUGAUUUUUAUCCCAAUGGUGACUAUGAACAUAUGGCUUUGCAUUCCAAGCAUUCGGUCGAUGAAUGAAUUUCAAUUGCUUCUAUCAAAAGACGAAAUUGGAUUCGACGUUGAAACUUUGGUCUCUUUUCGUAUAGUUGAGGCAUUAAUAGUUAAUAAGACAUGAAGUCUUCUCAAGCUUUCAUCAUUUUAACUGUUAACCAGUAGACUUUUGGCCAACAAUUAAAUAUGGAUAAUAUCCACAUGUUAUUCACAUCUAUUAAUAGAAACAUGGAGAUCAUAAGAAUUUGCAAAUCCUUCAGUAUUAAACAAUCAACUGUUUCCAAGCUGCGACAAAUUUCCAAAUGUACACCUUAUUGGCUAUUGCUGUUGGAGGAUUGGAGAUGUUUAAGUGCCAUUUGUUUUUACCCUAACGGUGAUUAUCAGGUUAAACUAAACGAUUGUUCAUAACCGCCGUUAGGGUAAAAGUCAAUGUCACUUAAAGUUGACUCCUCAAUUAAUGCAAUCCUGAACAGCUGACUGAAAAGCGUCAAUUGUUGCUUAUCAUUGUCCAAAUUAUGAGGAUCUCGAAAAGGGAAAGCGAACUGGUUGUCUGGUGCGUAGAUCAAAUUCACCAAAUUUAAUUGAAGAAAUUUCACCGAAGAAAUUUUCGAAUGUACACUUGAUUGGACACAGUCUAGGCACGCAUGUAGCAGAUGAAAGUAUUUUUACACUUUUGUUCUGCACAACCAGCUAAAUGCGCACCUAGACUGUGCCCAAUCAAAUGUAUUAUCAGAAUCAUCAGAAAAAUUUUCUUUAACAGCAAUUGUAAGUAAUUUAUUGUAAGUCGU